ACGGAGGGUGCGAGCGUUAAUCGGAAUUACUGGGCGUAAAGCGCAUGCAGGUGGUUUGUUAAGUUACAGAUGUGAAAGACCCGGGGCGUCAACCUCGGAAUAGCAUUUGUAAACUAGGCAGACUAGAGUACUGUAGAGGGGGGUAGGAAUUUCUAGGUGUAGCGGUGAAAUAGCGUAGAGAUCUGAAGGAAUACCGGUGGCGAAGGACGGCCCCCUCGGACAGAUACUGACACUCAGAUGCGAAAGCGUGGGGAGCAAACAGGAUUAGAUACCCUGGUAG
rnacentral:rRNA from 1 species